GAUUAACGCUAGCGGCAGGCAUAAUACAUGCAAGUUGACCGGCAGCACAGGUAGCAAUACUGGGUGGCGAGUGGCGCACGGGUGCGUAACACGUAUGCAACCUACCCUAUACAGGCGAAUAACCUUUAGAAAUGAGGGCUAAUACGCCGUAGUAUUACAGAUGGGCAUCUAUUUGUAAUUAAAGAUUUAUCGGUAUAGGAUGGGCAUGCGUCCCAUUAGUUAGUUGGUAAGGUAACGGCUUACCAAGACGAUGAUGGGUAGGGGAUCUGAGAGGACUUACCCCCACACUGGUACUGAGACACGGACCAGACUCCUACGGGAGGCAGCAGUAAGGAAUAUUGGGCAAUGGCCGCGAGGCUGACCCAGCCAUGCCGCGUGCAGGAAGACGGCCUUAUGGGUUGUAAACUGCUUUUAUACGGGAAUAAUAGAGUGUACGCGUACAUUUAUGCAAGUAUCGUAUGAAUAAGCAUCGGCUAACUCCGUG
rnacentral:rRNA from 1 species